UUUAGCACUAUGGAGCAACCGAACACCACAGUGUCCAGGAGCGACUCCAUCGCUCCCCAAUCAGCGGCCACGCAACUUCCCUCCACCAAUCCACGCUAAGCAGUGGGGCGGGACCAAAGCAAAGAACUGGCUCGGUUGAGACUUCGCAACCGAGGGCUUCGCUGGAUUCGGGAUAACGGUUCUGCUGGUCUUGAAGCGAUUGUUCUCAAACUUCACUGAACCAAGGCCUCCCGGGCGCUAGUUUACAAUACAGGUUCCCGGGCGCUGCUAGAUAGAGUUGGUGAUCGUAUGAGACCGGAGUGGAGUCCGAGAAUCCGCGUUUGUGUCAGCUGUAGCGCUCUGCUUUGCUUGGUUGCCUUGGCAGAGCCUUCGCGACCUGUUACCGGGUCUCUGGCCACAUCUCCAAAGGAGGGCCCCUGAAGCGUACACAGAGGGCUGGCCGCCAAGACUGGCAGAGUGAGACAAGUACUUGAAAUAAACGCAGGGUGUUUGCUUACGGAUUCUUCUCCACCACCUCAUGGAUUUCAUCUGGGCAGGAGCUGAGCGAGACAUGAAUCUGUGAUAUAUGGAGCUGGGUAACACCCUUUCUCCCACCUGAGCAUUUCCAUCUGAUGACUUACCUGGGAACGAGUGAACUUCUGUGAAGACUGCUUAAACCAUGCUCAGAAGUGGGGUCAGACAUACACUGUCUCACUAAUACUUUUUGGAGUUCUGGCUACAAUGAUGUUUCAGAAAAGCAAUUUGAAUUCUCAAGGGAGAAGUCACUGAAGGUUCAACUAGCUGGCCAGAGACUGCAGUAGGCCUGGUCUCCAGAGAGGGGCAGUGCCAAGGUCCCUGAGCACUCUUGGAGGCAGGCCCAGGUGCCAUAACUAGAUGACAUGCUCAGGAUCUUGUUAUGUAAUCCAUGCUGGGCCUGAACUCACUGUGGAGCCCAGGUUGGCCUCAAAAUCCUGGCAAUCAUCCUGUCUGAGCCCCAGAGGUCCUUGGAUCACAGGUGUGCACCACUAUGCUUGGCCUCAUCUUUCUUUUGAUGGAGAUGAUGAGUGUCCUGAGCCUUUGAAAACUGGGUUUUCCAGAUAGGGUGGAUCUCUUAGGGUAAGAUGGUUUUGAACUAUGGAUGGGCAUUGGCCUCACUGGACCAUGGAUGGCUACACGGAGGCAUCUGUUGGUGAGAUGCACUUGCUUGAGGGCAAUAAGUAUGGCAACAGUGACUCAUCAACACGGGCAUCAAAUGUUGGUUGAUUCUGAGCAUUGGUGGGUCUCCCUGUGGUCCCUGGGUGCUGCCUACUGACAGGGGUUCACCUGGCCCAAGUAGGGCAUCUCAGUGCUGACUCUCAUCAUCAUGUGGGCACUGAAGGCCUGGAGGCUCUGCUGACUUUUUUCUUGUGCUACUGCCCUCUCACCAUGACAAUUCCAGUAUUCAAUCUUGAGGCAAUGCGUAAUUCUCACUGGGGAGAAACAAAGUACAAGGAGAUGACAAAAUGAAAAGCGUCUUGAUGGGUGUUUUAAGCAUCACUCCUGUACACCUGUGAAGAAUACAGUUGCUCACUGUGGAGGGUGUGGCUUCUGAAGCAGGUGAGAAGAAAGAGGAAGCAGAAGACUUGCUCCACAGAGCUAGAGGACAUUUCCGAGAGCCCCAGGCUGGAUUCUUAUUUGUGCCUCACCAGGAACAUGGAACUUUGGUCCUUUCCUGAUACGAGAUCCCAAGGAUAAAGCUUAUCAUGCAGCUGUUCACAUUUGUCAGCAGUGCCAUCAUACUUAAUAUUUUUGCUGUUGAUUCAGUUCUCAGGGAUUUGU